UACGUAGGCAGCGAGCGUUGUUCGGAGUUACUGGGCGUAAAGGGUGCGUAGGCGGUUGUUUAAGUUUGGUGUGAAAUCUCCCGGCUCAACUGGGAGGGUGCGCCGAAUACUGAAUGACUAGAGUGCGGGAGAGGAGAGUGGAAUUCCUGGUGUAGCGGUGGAAUGCGCAGAUAUCAGGAGGAACACCGGUGGCGAAGGCGGGUCUCUGGGCCGUUACUGACGCUGAGGAGCGAAAGCGUGGGGAGCGAACAGG
rnacentral:rRNA from 1 species